AGAGAGACCUUCGGAAUCCUCCCUACGGCCUGGCUGGGCCUCUGUCCAGCUGAAGCGGAAAGACCCGGUGUGCUGUGAAACUGCAGCAGGGCAGCAUCCGUCUGUUGGUCUGCGGCGUCGCAAAGGGCGAUUGCACCACGUUGUUAGGCUGUGGAUGUGGAAAUCGACAAUACUGAGGCGAUAGAAAUCUUAAAAGAAUGUAGUUUAGUUUCAUCUUUGCUUUAUAAAGACAAAAAAUCAAAAACUUUUUCCAGCCAAGGACUACCAGGUAGAUGAAUUUAUUCGACUAUUAUUUGUUGCAUGCCAAAGAUGCAUCAGGCAUUGCUCAAGGAGCUGGGAAUGAGUGAAAUAACAAUCCUCACCCUCAUGGAACUGACAUUUUGGUAGAGGGAAGCAGGCAAUAAACAUGUUUAAUAAGUGGAUUGUCAGAUGUUGAUAGCAGAGCAGAUAGCAGAGCAUGUUGGGGAUGGUUAGGGAAGGUCUCCCUGAAAAAGUGACACUUGAGCCAAGGUCUAGAGAUGGAAAGGGUAAUGCCACAGGGAUAUCUGAGGAAGGGCGUGUCAGGGAAAACAAACAGAAUGUACAAG
rnacentral:lncRNA from 1 species